rnacentral:rRNA from 1 species
UGGGGAAUAUUGCACAAUGGAGGGAACUCUGAUGCAGCGACGCCGCGUGAACGAAGAAGGCUUUCGAGUCGUAAAGUUCUUUUAUAUGGGAAGAUAAUGACGGUACUAUAAGAAAAAGCCCCGGCUAACUACGUGCCAGCAGCCGCGGUAAUACGUAGGGGGCUAGCGUUGUCCGGAAUCACUGGGCGUAAAGGGUUCGCAGGCGGAAAUGCAAGUCAGGUGUAAAAGGCAGUAGCUUAACUACUGUAAGCAUUUGAAACUGCAUAUCUUGAGAAGAGUAGAGGUAAGUGGAAUUUUUAGUGUAGCGGUGAAAUGCGUAGAUAUUAAAAAGAAUACCGGUGGCGAAGGCGGCUUACUGGGCUCAUUCUGACGCUGAGGAACGAAAGCGUGGGUAGCAAACAGG